rnacentral:rRNA from 1 species
GACGACGCUGGCGGCGUGGAUUAGGCAUGCAAGUCGAACGGUAUCAUCCUUUCGGGGGUGAGAGAGUGGCGAACUGGUGAGUAACACGUAGGUUAUCUACCCUCAAGACGGGACAACCCAGGGAAACUUGGGCUAAUACCGGAUGUGAGCAACUUUUAGUGUUUGAAAGGUGGCGUAAGCUGUCGCUUGGGGAUGAGCCUGCGUCCUAUUAGUUAGUUGGUGAGGUAACGGCUCACCUAGGCAAUGAUAGGUAGGCGGCCUUAACGGGUGGUCGCCCACACUGGGAUUGAGAUACGGCCCAGACUCCUACGGGAGGCAGCAGUCGAGAAUAGUCUACAAUGGUCGGAAGACUGAUAGUGCGACGCCGCGCGAACGAUGAAUCCCUUCGGGGUGUAAAGUUCUUUUAUAUGUGAGCAGUGCUUCUUAUAUUAACAGUAUGGGGAGAGAGAUAUUAGCAUAUGAAUAAGCAACGGCUAACUCCGUG